UAAUACACGUUGCUUCGCGUGAGGCGCCCUUAGGUGCCGCCCAUUGGUCUCGACGAAGUCGCGCCGUGCGUCACGUCUCGGAGUGUUGGCGAAGGUGGAUAUCGGAGGGCAAACGACACGUACGUCGGCCACAUAAACCUGAAUGGACCUUCGAUAUAUUUUACGACGAGUCUACGCAUUGUACAUGCGGAUCGUGCGCGUGUAGUCGCGCACGCUACACGAAAAGGUCGACGUGUGAAGAGGCGCGUUCGCGAGAGAGCAUUGGCUGCACCUUCGACUGGAUACACAUCGAAGCGAACGAACAAGGAACGAAUGCACACGUUCGUUGUUGCAAUUUGGAGAAUGUGUACAACGAUGUGUACAAUGAAAUGUGCCGUAACGAGUCUGAACGGAACGUUUAUUCGAGCCGAAAGUUGAGUCCAUGUGACCAAUGUGCUAUUAUCAGCCUGAUCCAAUGAGAUAGCCGAUUUCCUGGCGGCGACCAGUCUACAAUGGCAAUAAACAAAAAUCAGUGAUAAAUUUAAUAAA